AGAAGCCGGAUGAAUCGAGAGGUUCACGUCCGGUUUCGUGAGAGCCUCGGGGUGCAAUUCCCCGGGGCUACUCGAC
rnacentral:ncRNA from 1 species